rnacentral:rRNA from 1 species
GACAGAGGUGCCAAGCGUUAGGCGGAAUCACUGGGCUUAAAGCGUGUGUAGGUGGAUGUCUAAGUACCUUGUGAAAUCCCAUGGCUCAACCAUGGAACUGCUUGGUAUACUGGAUGCCUUGAGCCACUUAGGGGCUACCGGAACAAAUGGUGGAGCGGUGAAAUGCGUAGAUAUCAUUUGGAACGCCAAUGGUGAAAACAGGUAGCUGGGAGUGUGCUGACACUGAGACACGAAAGCCAGGGGAGCGAACGGG